GGCAUUUUGAUUCUUUUUCUGUGUGCAUGUUUUGUGGGCAGAAAAAGGUCUUUGGGCUUAUAUUUCCUGUCGCUUGCCCCUGGGAUGUGUGUGCGUGAAGGACGAGCACAGGUAGCAUAAAGUUACAAUAGUCUAAGAAUCUCGCUUGGGAGGUGCGGCCUAAGGGUGCUAAGUGGUGUUUCAUAGGCCUGGUUCAUAUACCCGUUUCAUGUGGCUGUUUCACCAUCCUGUGUACGGCCGACUGUGUGGACGUCGCAGUUUUCAACCGCUAUUUACAGAGUGUUUCUAAGACUAUUCUGCCCAAUUAGUCUGUACGAUAUGUUUGAGUAAGUUUUGGAAUUUUUAUUUUUUUUUGUCUGUGGUACAAGUAUAUUAAACUAACAGGCUUUGUAUUCUGGUUCAGUGAAGCCGCUUGGACGAUUUUUAAAUAUUAAUUGAUUUUCUUUUUUUUCUUUUUUUUAUUUGUAUUAUUUGGAAAGUCACGUCUCUGUCUUUUAACCCCAUUCAAACCAGCAGGGUCCAUUUGUCAUGUAAAAUAGGCUGCUAUUAAGAGAUGACAACAUGAUGUGAAUUUCACUGGAAACUAUUUGCUGCUUCAUCUGAAUGCUUUCAUGCAUAGUCUCUCACACACACAUACACGCGCAAAAAAAAUAAAAAUAACCAGAACAAUGACAAAGCCCUGGAAAUAUUCUUGACAAAACACAAU